CAAAUUUCGACACAUGAGUACCGUGAUCAGGAAGACAGCAACGAAAAGUCAGAAAAAGUAACAAUGAAAGUAAUUAGCACGAAAAUGGGUACAUACCCAACAAUAGCCGAAUUAUAUGACUGUAACACGAUGUUCGGAUUCUCGAACCAACAUAGACAUAUUUGAUGAAUAUAAUAAAUAAACAAUUGGCAGUUAUAGGGACUCCCAAUAGAAAUGAAAACUUAGAAAUUUAGAAUUGAAAUUUGAAAUGUUUUAAAUUAAAAUUAUCAACAUCAAUGUGGUUUUCACAUCUAUUGAAACUCCGAGCAACAAAAUUAUAUACAUGUUUAUAUGCUUUAUUUAGUAUUCAAAUAUAUUACGGGCUGUAUAAAUUCAUGAUCAAAUAUAAAUACAAUUUAAUUGAAAUAACAAACAA